rnacentral:misc_RNA from 1 species
AAAAAAUUCUCAGAGGAAGACUACUGCGAACUUAGCUAGCCGGAAACAAGCUGAAGAGCGUGUUGAGAGACCAGUAGUGCGGAUUCAAGCCAUGUUCCGUCCGAAGAAGGCACAGGAAGAAUAUCGAAGGAUCAAAUUGACCCAUAACCAAGCAGGCUGUCUCAAAGAUGAUACUCUGGUAACUCGCCACCCUUUUAUUGGUCAGAAUUUUGGAAAUGAAAGCCAAACCGAUGUAAAUUUCUAAGUUGAUGGUGAAGAAUUUGCUGCUCACAAGCUAGUUCCUGCAGUACGCUCACCAGUGUGCAUGGCACAAAGUCAAACCGAUGUAAAUUUUGAAGUUGAUGGUAAAGAAACUGCUGCUCAUAAGCUGGUUCCUGCGUAUAGGGCACAAAUUUCUGGUCCAAGGAAGUAUCAAAACACUCAAUUCGAGGAUUCAUGGUCUUCUUCAUGUGUGAAGAGCGGGAAAAACUUGAAGAGGAAAAAGUUUGAAGAAGAAGAAGAAACGGAGCAAAGAGAUGAUGCACUUAGUCCAACGAAGUAUCAAAACACUCAAUCUGCGGAUUCAUGGUCUUCUUCAAGUGUAGGGAACUGGAAAGACUCGAAGAGGAACAAGUUAGAAGAAGAAGAAGAAACGGUGGAAAGCGAUGAUGCAACUACGUCUACAAGGAUUUUCUUUUUUGAGCCGAGAUAGCCAGUAGGGCCCUGACCAGUAGGGUAAAACAAGAUUCGAGAAGAACAUGCUGAUCGUACACCCUUGAGCCCAUGGCUUGGCUUAUUGUGCUAAGAGUUCCCAGCGACCUUUGACUUUUGCCCAUUGGGAUCUCCUCUGUUUUUGUUAUCGCUUGAAAUUUGGAUAUAUUUUUCUUACAUUCGAAUUAUAAUUUGAUUCGAAAGUUUUAAACUGUAGUUCAGUUAAAAUAAAAAGUGAAAUAUGUAGGGCUAGAAUUUGAGAAUUUUGAG